UCGGGAAUAUUGGUCAAUGGGGGAAACCCUGAACCAGCAAUGCCGCGUGAGUGAUGAAGGUUUUCGGAUCGUAAAGCUCUGUCUUUGGGGACGAAUAAAUGACGGUACCCGAGGAGGAAGCCCCGGCUAACUACGUGCCAGCAGCCGCGGUAAUACGUAGGGGGCGAGCGUUGUCCGGAAUUACUGGGCGUAAAGGGCGAGUAGGCGGUUUAAUAAGUCAGAUGUGAAAUACCAGGGCUUAACCCUGGGGCUGCAUUUGAAACUAUUAGACUUGAGUGCAGGAGAGGAAAGUGGAAUUCCCAGUGUAGCGGUGAAAUGCGUAGAUAUUGGGAGGAACACCAGUGGCGAAGGCGACUUUCUGGACUGUAACUGACGCUGAGGCGCGAAAGCGUGGGGAGCA
rnacentral:rRNA from 1 species